AGGAAAGUAGUUUAGUGGUAAAACAAUGGUCUCCAAAACCAUCGAUAGAGGUUCGAUUCCUUUCUUUCCUG